rnacentral:misc_RNA from 1 species
CGCACCUUGCGCCCUUUGGUAUUCCGAAGGGCAUGCCUGUUUGAGUGUCAUUAAAUUCUCAAACUUCAACGUUGGUUUUACUAGCGUUUGAAGCUUUGGAACGUGAGGGUUUUGCUGGCUUCCUUCAGUGGAUGGUCUGCUCCCUUUAAAAGCAUUAGUGGGAUCCAGUACCACCUUGGUUGUGAUAAUUUAUCAUCGAUCGAGCUCUGGUAUGGGUUUAGGAACCUGCUUAUAACCGUCUUCGGACAACAAACUUUAUUGACUUGACCUCAAAUCAGGUAGGACUACCCGCUGAACUUAA